CCCCUUCACGUUCUCACUCUCUUCUGCCGACCUCACCAUCCUUUUCUUCUUCUUAUUCCGCCACUCUUCUCCUUCACGCUCAUUUCCUUUCUCUGGCAGCAGCAUCUUCUUCUUUUUCAUUUCUUCUUUCAUUUUCUUUGAUGGAACACCAUGCUCCAUGCACAUAAUCUAUAGCCUAUUUUUGAUUUAAAACACAGAUGUUAAUGUAACUUUAGAAGCAGGGGAGAUUCCAUAUUAAAGCUUAAGGCAGAUCUUUGUGUAUUAAUUGAAUAGUAUGAAGCAGAAUUGAGAUUCACCUUACAACAGCACACCACCACCAUGUCCUUUUCUUCCUCACCUACAACCAUGGCAGCACCUCUUCAUCACUAAGUUUCUCCUUCACGCAGGUUGGAGCAAAAAGCAUUGGCAUGUUCAAGUUUGGAACUCAAAGUUGGAGCAACUGAGUGUGGACAAAAAUAGAAGGAGAAUCGGCGAAGGCCCUAACAGGUGUGUCUCCGAGGAGCUGUUGAUUGCUGCAAGAAGGUGAUUGGACUUAUUGACGAUGAAACUUCCUUGGAGCGAGUGAACCAACCGAAGACUUGUGGAAGUAAUAGUUAGAUGUAAGGCUAGAGCCUUGGGUAGAGAAGCUUACCGUCAUUGGUUGA